rnacentral:rRNA from 1 species
UACGGGGGGGGCAAGCGUUGUUCGGAAUUACUGGGCGUAAAGGGCUCGUAGGCGGCCAACUAAGUCGGACGUGAAAUCCCUCGGCUUAACCGGGGAACUGCGUCCGAUACUGGAUGGCUUGAGUUCGGGAGAGGGAUGCGGAAUUCCAGGUGUAGCGGUGAAAUGCGUAGAUAUCUGGAGGAACACCGGUGGCGAAGGCGGCAUCCUGGACCGACACUGACGCUGAGGAGCGAAAGUGUGGGGAGCGAACAGG